ACAGGGUUGUAGAAUUGCCAAAUUAUAUUAUUUAAAAUGUCUAUUAUUCAACAAAAUAUUAUAAGACAUGCAAGGAAACAAGAAAGUUUGACCCAUACAAGGAAAAGAAGCAACC